rnacentral:rRNA from 1 species
GAUGAACGCUGGCGGCUUGCUUAACACAUGCAAGUCAAACGAUAACCCCCACUGUGGGGGGGUUAGUGGGGACACGGGGAGGUAACCGUGAGGUAACCGCCCCUUGCCUCGGGGAUAGGCCGGGGAAACGGGGUCUAAUACUGAAAACACCCUUCGGGCCAUUCCCUGGUGGGUGGAAGGCUUUGGUGGUUUUGGUUGGACUCGCGGCCUAUCAGCUUGUUGGUGGGGUAAUGGCCUACCAAGGCGACGACGGGUAGCCGGCCUGAGAGGGUGACCGGCCACACUGGGACUGAGACACGGCCCAGACUCCUACGGGAGGCAGCAGUGGGGAAAAUUGCACAAUGGGCGCAAGCCUGAUGCAGCGACGCCGCGUGAGGGAUGAAGGCCUUCGGGUUGUAAACCUCUUUCAGUAGGGAAGAAGCCGGCUUUUGGGUUGGUGACGGUACCUGCAGAAGAAGCGCCGGCUAACUACGUG